AUUGAACGCUGGCGGCAUGCCUUACACAUGCAAGUCGAACGGUAACAGGUCUUCGGAUGCUGACGAGUGGCGAACGGGUGAGUAAUACAUCGGAACGUGCCUAGUAGUGGGGGAUAACUACUCGAAAGAGUGGCUAAUACCGCAUGAGAUCUACGGAUGAAAGCAGGGGAUCGCAAGACCUUGUGCUACUAGAGCGGCCGAUGGCAGAUUAGGUAGUUGGUGGGAUAAAAGCUUACCAAGCCGACGAUCUGUAGCUGGUCUGAGAGGACGAUCAGCAACACUGGGACUGAGAAACGACCCAGACUCCUACGGGAGGCAGCAGUGGGGAAUUUUGGACAAUGGGCGCAAGCCUGAUCCAGCAAUGCCGCGUGCAGGAUGAAGGCCUUCGGGUUGUAAACUGCUUUUGUACGGAACGAAAAGCCCCGGGUUAAUACCCUGGGGUCAUGACGGUACCGUAAGAAUAAGCACCGGCUAACUACGUGCCAGCCGCCGCGGUAA
rnacentral:rRNA from 1 species